rnacentral:misc_RNA from 1 species
AUCUGAGUAAAAAAAGGAAAUACGCCCGGAAAAAAUAGACAAAUUCCUAUUAAGAAGAUACGGAAAUAAUAUGUCCGAGCGAUCUUCUUUUUAUUUCGUUUUCAAUUAACUCAAUAAAGUCACGGUUUAAAUUCAUUUCGGUGGCUUUGAAAUAAGAUUCUAUUAGUAAUUCAUCAGACAGUUUUCUCAUGCUAGGAACCCAAUUAAUGGGAGAGGCACCUCCUUAAAAGUUGGAAUCAUUCAUGAUUUUAACGCAUAC